UACGUAGGGUGCGAGCGUUGUCCGGAAUUAUUGGGCGUAAAGAGCUCGUAGGCGGCCUGUCGCGUCGGAUGUGAAAGCCCGGGGCUUAACCCCGGGUCUGCAUUCGAUACGGGCAGGCUAGAGUGUGGUAGGGGAGAUCGGAAUUCCUGGUGUAGCGGUGAAAUGCGCAGAUAUCAGGAGGAACACCGGUGGCGAAGGCGGUUCUCUGGGCCUUACCUGACACUGAGGAGCGAAAGCGUGGGGAGCGAACAGG
rnacentral:rRNA from 1 species